AUUGCUGAGUUGCAAGACAGCACAGCUACCGAGCCAGUGGAUCUUUGAUUUUUUUCUAAUGAUCUGAUGCAGUCCUCUUUGCAAGUGAGUGGGUUGUAGAUAUGGCUGUUAUAUAUCACACUGUAUCUGGGAAACUUCAGAGUCUGACAUAACCACUCCAUAAUACUGGCAGUACUGUUUUAAACUGGGUUGCUAUAGCUUAGUAAAUGGCUGGUGACUCACCAGGUUUUCCCCUGUUGGUUGAUGUUCAUCGAUGACCAACAAUGAAAUGACGAUGGUUUGACAGCUUACUGGUGUCAAAGAUUUCUGACUCAAGUCAAUGGGAACAUGGCCUAUUAGCUCCAAAAAUAUAAUAUCCACCCAGCAUUAGCAUUGCUCAUGGAUAAUUACUGACAGCCAAUGGCUUCAUUUGUCAUUAUAGGACAAAACAUUUACGCUUUGAGUGUAACAGUCACACAAUUUGACCCAUUCUCACACCACACGCCACACAUUUCUCACGCUUAUAUUUCCCCAUUCAAUACUCUGUAUUUUUUUUAUGAUAAUAAACUUGGCUUGCCGUAGUUCGAGUAACUCUGAUUGACUGACUGAGAUAACCAAUCCAGCAGUCUUUUGUGCCUAAAUCUAACCAACCACGGAAGGCACCAUGCAUUAUAACCAAUCAGAAGCAACGUAAGGCGAGUCUUGGCGUCUCUAACUAUCUAUCACACACAACAGCACCAACAUUUAAAACCCACUUUCUAACUUCCAAUUUCUGGUUAAUUAAGACUAGCAUUAGGAGGCCACAGUGCAGCGAGAGUAGUUGGCAUGGAGGUGAGGACAUCAGUCUUAAGGUAUAAAUUGACGUUAAAAAAGGCCUGUUUUUUUCACCGGCGGCACUCAGAAUGGGACUAAUAUUGAAUGUGUAAGCUAAGCAAGCUAUAUGAAUAUGAAAGUUUGAAAGGAAUCCACUCCUCCCUGAUUUCUGACAGUCAGAUCAGUUAAAGAUGGUUUCUGACACAGUUAAGUUUGUCCUCUGAACAACACGUUUUACUAAAACAUGAUUAAAAUAUCCAUAAAGUCAAGAGGAUUUGAUGAUGAGUUUUGCAUAGUGGAGGAACCCUCUGAAUGCACCUGCAUGACCCACAGGAAGGUGUGCACACACACCAUUAGGUAUGGUAUAAUUGUGUUUUUUUGCAUGCGUCUAUGGAGGCAUAUGUUUUUGUAUUGCCUCUAUAUCAAAUAAAAUUCAACAUUUUUCGCCUGCUUUGGAUGUUUGAUGUGAAAGCAGGCAGGCGGUCUGCUUUGCUGCUGUGAGAAGUGGCACACUCGGAUCAUUAAUCAGACUCGACGGCACAGCGGGUGGAAGGCAAGCCACGGGAGAGCCCAAAUGCAUGCAAAUGUAUACUCGUUUUGGGGGCAGGUUGAGCCAAGGACAGAACCUAGCCAGCAACAGACAGGGAGAACAAGUACAGAUAGAGAGGGGGAACAUAUCACUGCUCAAGCGGGAGCCCGUUCAUUGUGCCUUUGUCUCAUACAGCUGAAGCAUGAAUGUGCUCUAAAUCAACAUGACAGAGGAGAAAAGGGAAAACAGGGAAAUCUUGCAGGUGAAACAAAAAAGAAGUGUUUGUUGUUUAAAGGCUUAUAGUACACUGUAUAUUAUCUACUGAUGUAGAAUAACCAUAACAUAUGACUGGUCAGAUCCCAUAUCAGCACCUCUGUAAACCCCCUCCAUUGCCAAACGGCAUGAUCUGUCAAACAAGCUUCCCAAGCAAGACAUCUCUUCACAUGGCAAAUGUAGAAGCAAGAGCUGAUUUUUGCUGCCAACUGAGGGCACAGCUUAGCAUCCAUCCAAGCUCUUAUUAUUCUGCUCAGUGCCUCAGCCUCAUUAUAACAGGGAUUGUACCUUUGGUGAAGAUAACCUUACAUGACUUUUAGAGAUGAACCUUUUACAAAGAAGCUUAAGGAAAUGUGAAUAGAGCAGAGAUAGCUUUGCCGGUGGGCGUCUGCAUCAUAUAAGGAAACAGAGGCGCCAUAAAUCCUUCUCAGUUUUUUGCCAUGUCAUGUUUUGUCAUCAGGUAAGCCUUUAAAAAGAAGUUAGUGUUUGGAUCUGAGUCACUGUACCGUGCACUGAUGUUGUAAAUCUUGGAAAAUGCUUUUAAUAAAACAGCUGUAUGACAGGGGAGUGGAAAACACUUUCUGCUGGAAUGAAUUUGGUUCUGUUGCUAUGCAGCUUACAGUGGAAAUGCUUCCACCGCACCUGCGACGGCUCUGAUCCGGAACAGUGGCGAUUCCCACCAUACGCCAAUUCCUACCAGAUACAUUUGUGAGGUGAAUUUCAUGGCGGAUUACAGACAGCAGGAAUCGCAAG
rnacentral:lncRNA from 1 species